rnacentral:tRNA from 1 species
GAGGGUCUAGCUCAGUGGUAGAGCACAUGCUUAGCAUGCACAAGGUCCUGGGUUCAAUCCCCAGGACCUCCA